rnacentral:rRNA from 1 species
UACAGAGGGUGCAAGCGUUGUUCGGAAUCAUUGGGCGUAAAGGGCGUGUAGGCGGUCUGUUAAGUCAUGUGUGAAAUCCCUCGGCUUAACCGGGGAACGACGCAUGAAACUGACAAGCUAGAGUCCGGAAGAGGAGAGUGGAAUUCCCGGUGUAGCGGUGAAAUGCGCAGAUAUCGGGAAGAACACCCGUGGCGAAGGCGGCUCUCUGGGACGGUACUGACGCUGAGACGCGAAAGCGUGGGGAGCGAACAGG